AGUGAACGCUGGCGGCGUGCUUAACACAUGCAAGUCGAACGAGAACGGGUUAUAGCUUGCUAUAAUUGUCAGCUAAGUGGCGCACGGGUGAGUAAUGUAUAGGUAAUAUGCCUCUUACUAAGGGAUAACAAAUGGAAACGUUUGCUAAUACCUUAUACUCCUUAUUAACAUAAGUUAAUAAGGGAAAGAUUUAUUGGUAAGAGAUUAGCCUGUAUUGUAUCAGUUAGUUGGUGGGGUAAUGGCUUACCAAGACUAUGACACAUAACUGGUUUGAGAGGGUGAGCAGUCACACUGGGACUGAGACACGGUCGAGACUCCUACGGGAGGCAGCAGUGGGGAAUAUUGCACGAUGGACGAAAGUCUGGUGCAGCAACGCCGCGUGGAGGAUGACACAUUUCGGUGCGUAAACUCCUGUUAUAUGGGAAGAUAAUGACGGUAUUAUAUGAAUAAGCACCGGCUAACUCCGUGCCAGCCGCCGCAGUAACAC
rnacentral:rRNA from 1 species